rnacentral:tRNA from 1 species
GAAAAAUGAUACAAGAACUGCUAAUUCCUGUCCCUGAAGCUAAACCCUCAGAUUUUUCA